UCCUGGGGGCUGAUGAGGAGUAGGGUUUCUGGGCAACUUAAACGGACCCAGAGUUAGUCGAUCCUAAUCAAAUUAAAUUUAGAGAAAGGGAAUAUGAAUGAUAUUUCAUAACUAAAAUUAAUUUUUAAAUGGUGACAUUUUUUUAAACUUAUUUCCAUCAAUUAAAUACUGUUUAAUAGGGAUUUCUUUCCUAUAUAACUUUUUAAUUAAAACUUAAGAAACAGGUUAACUGGAGAAUAAAGUUUUAAUUUAGUAAAAUUAUAAUUUCGAUUAUAAUAACGGCUAUUUAAAUGAUCCAUGAAACGAUAAGUUUAUUUUUUCAAAAAUUAAUUUAAUCGUACCGAUAACCGCAUCAGGUCUCCAAGGUGAGUAGCUUCUGGCCAUUGAGUAAUGGUAAUUUAGGGAAUUCGGCCAAUUAGAGCUGUAACUUCGGGAUAAAGCUUGGCUCUGAUGGAAAUCAGAACCGAUAGUUACAAGGAGAGCCCAACUGUUUAAUAAAAACUUAGUGUCGCGUCAUACCUUUAUAAGUAAUAAACGUGACAUGAAUCCUGCUCAGUGCUGUGUUUGUUAAACUGGAUUAAUCCAUUUAAGCGCCGGUAAAUAGCUGGGGUAACUAUGACUCUUAUCAAAGUAGCGAAAUACCUCGUCACUUAAUUAGUGACCUGCAUGAACGGAGCUAUGAGGUUCUCACUGUCCCAAAUUAUCACUCAGCGAACCAACAGUUGUGGGAACGGGCACAAAUUAUCCAGCGGGGAAAGAAGACCCUGUAGAGCUUCACUUUGGUCUAAUCUUGUAUAGUUUCGUUAGGGGUGCAGUCUAGGUGGGAGAUUUUUAAUCAAAUAUGAGAAACCACUACCCUUUCUGGAAUUAUACUUACUAAAAUUCUUUUCUAAAUUUUAGGAUCGGAUUAGAUAGAAAGUUUGGCUGGGGCGGCACACCUUCGAAAAAGCAGCGAAGGUGUCCUAAGUUAAGCUCAGUAAGGACAGAAAUCUUACGUUGAGGAUAAGGCCAAAAGCUUAAUUUACUGUGCCUUUUUGUACUAGGAUCAGUUUGGAAACAAAGGCCUAACGAUCCCUAAUUAGUCUUAGGUGUGUAAGACUUGGGGUGACAGACAAGUUACCUCCGGGACAACUGGCUUGUGGCUGCUAAGAGAUCAAAUCAACGCAGCUUUUUGAUUCUUCGAUGUCGGCUCUUCCUAUCCUAGUGAUGUACAAGUCACUAAGGGUUGGAUUGUUCACCCGUAUUAGGGAUCGUGAGCUGGGUUUAGACCGUCGUGAGCCAGGUUUGUUUUAUCCUACUGGAUAUAAUUUAGCAUCUUGAUAGUAGUUUGAUUUAGUACGAGAGGAACUGUUGAAUAUGGUCUCUGGUUUGGGAAUUUUAUGAAAAUAAAAGUUCCAAAGCUACGCCGUCUGAGAUAAUGGCUGAAGGCCUCUUAAGCCAGAAACUCAUCUAAAAAUAGAUGCUUUAAACUAUUUAAAAGAAUUAAAUUUAAAAUAUUUUUUUUAUUAAAAUUUGUUAAUAAUUCUUUAGUUUAAAUGACCAAAUGUAGAAGACGUUUUGUCAACAAGGGUCCUGUAA
rnacentral:rRNA from 1 species